CAGAUCAAUGUCCUAGUUGUAACCCUGCAGCUGUAAACAACAGAGAAACUGUGAUGUUUACACUGCAUGGUUAAUCUAGCCUCUGGUGGCUGUCUCCCUAACAGCCACCAAAGGUCGCCUCUGCAAUUUACACAGAGUAAAUCGCACUUAUUUGAUGCUGGACGUCCUCAUGGAGUCCAGUUUCAAAAAAGAUCCCUAUAGUUAAGCAUUGAGCAAUGCUUUCCGAUGGGC